AGAAACUUAGGAUCAAUUCUUAAACCAAGGACCUUCAAAGUCCAAAACAGGAGUGAAACCCUCCUAGUUUCUG
rnacentral:tRNA from 1 species